rnacentral:rRNA from 1 species
AACGAACGCUGGCGGCAGGCCUAACACAUGCAAGUCGAGCGAGGACUUCGGUUCUAGCGGCGGACGGGUGAGUAACGCGUGGGAAUGUGCCCUUCUCUACGGAAUAGCCUGGGAAACUGGGAGUAAUACCGUAUACGCCCUAUUGGGGAAAGAUUUAUCGGAGAAGGAUCAGCCCGCGUUGGAUUAGGUAGUUGGUGGGGUAAUGGCCUACCAAGCCGACGAUCCAUAGCUGGUUUGAGAGGAUGAUCAGCCACACUGGGACUGAGACACGGCCCAGACUCCUACGGGAGGCAGCAGUGGGGAAUCUUAGACAAUGGGGGCAACCCUGAUCUAGCCAUGCCGCGUGAGUGAUGAAGGCCUUAGGGUUGUAAAGCUCUUUCAGCUGGGAAGAUAAUGACGGUACCAGCAGAAGAAGCCCCGGCUAACUCCGUG